UCCCAGUGUUAACAAAGGAAACCGUC
rnacentral:piRNA from 1 species